CGUCGGUUGACAGUUACUGUCAGUUGGCACUUCCGACAGGCCUCACGCUUCCUCUUUUUGUAAACUGCUUGAGUCGAUAGGACGUGUAUUUCAUUUGCUGCUCACGUUUCGUGUCGAUCUGACUUAAAAUUUUGCAAAAAUGCGUUACGUAGCUGCAUACCUGCUGGCUGUUCUGGGAGGCAACGCCGCUCCAUCCAACUCUGACAUCGAGAAGAUCCUCAGCUCGGUCGGUAUUGAAGCCGAUUCGACCCGCGUCACGAAGGUGGUGAACGAGCUGAAGGGCAAAUCGAUCGAGGAAUUGAUUGCUUCCGGGCGCGAGAAGCUGUCUUCGAUGCCGGCCGGUGGUGGUGCAGCUGCUGCUGCUCCUGCUGCCGCUGGUGGUGGUGGUGGUGCUGCCCCGGCUGCCGAGAAGAAGGAGGAGAAGAAGGAAGAAUCGGAAUCCGAAGACGACGACAUGGGCUUCGGUCUUUUCGAGUAAAAGUUUAUUACUGCGUCACAUUCGCUUCGGCUGUACUAUAUCAUGGGGAUAUAGGUAUCAACAAAUCCAACACAAUCGCGUCAUUUACAAUGCGUAAAAUUAUGUGGACUGGGUAUUCUACAAAUGAAAGACUUAUCCCUGCAUUCCGUAAUCUUCAGUCUAUAAAACCACAGAUAUCACCAUAAGAUGGUGGCCCGGUGGUAUAUGUGAUAAACUGUCCCAGUUUCAUACGACAUGGCCGGGAAUCAAAUUCCAUCCAGACCGCCCUCUCGUAGCAAGGACUGACUAUCCGGCUAUGUGUCUAGUAAACCAGAAACUGCCGUCGUGACCUUACAGGUCGUUAAGCCAAGAAAAGAGAGAUAGAGAGAUCACCAUAAGGACGACAUCUAAUGUGGGAAUAUAGGCUUAUUCCUCUGCCCUUCGGCAUCUUCAGUCGAUUAAAUCACAGAUACCACAAUAAGGACGACAUCUAAUGUGGGAAUAUAGGGAUCAACAAAUCCAACGCAUUCGCGUCAUUUACAGUGCGUAUAAUUAUGUGGAUUGGAUAUUCUACAAAUGAAAGGUAUCAACAAAUCCUUAUCCUUUUCUGUGGCAUUGUAAAUGGAUGCAAUCUCAGAUAGUUCCAAAAAGACGAUUCCUUUCUUUUCGUAUGUUUUAUGUACCCAAAUUCUAGAGUUAAUGAAUGAAAUAUCCAGUUCCCAAGCUGAUGGACGAAGCAAUAUUCCAGGUAUGGGUGUAUACAAAUUGUAAUAUUUAAAAUAAACCUUUAUUACAACAGCA